CAAUUCCUUAAUAUCAUCAGCAAAUUUAAGUAAUUUAUUGACCAUUCCUUCACGUAUGUCAUUAAUGUAUAUCAAAAAGAGCAAACACACUUGUGAGAUU